rnacentral:lncRNA from 1 species
AAAUGGAGAUGCAGAUAAAUUAAUCAAUCUUAAUUUAUUUUAAACAGUAGAUUUAGCUGUAUAUAAAGCAGGAUAAUGUAAUUUAGCCAUCUCAAAAUAUGAGAAGAAGAUUGGUUACCCAAAAGAAAAAAAACAAGAUGAGAGAGAGAGAGAAGGGAGGAGACUUGCAAAUCACGUGCCCUUUCCCAAGGCGUGUAAGGGACCUCAUGACAUGACAACUCUUAGGGACUUUGGCACUAGAAGUCUUCCAUGGAGUGG